rnacentral:rRNA from 1 species
UACGGGGGGGGCAAGCGUUGUUCGGAAUUACUGGACGUAAAGGGCUCGUAGGCGGCCAACUAAGUCAUACGUGAAAUCCCUCGGCUUAACCGGGGAACUGCGUCUGAUACUGGAUGGCUUGAGUUCGGGAGAGGGAUGCGGAAUUCCAGGUGUAGCGGUGAAAUGCGUAGAUAUCUGGAGGAACACCGGUGGCGAAGGCGGCAUCCUGGACCGAUACUGACGCUGAGGAGCGAAAGCCAGGGGAGCAAACGGG